rnacentral:rRNA from 1 species
AGUGAACGCUGGCGGUAGGCCUAACACAUGCAAGUCGAACGGCAGCACAGUAAGAGCUUGCUCUUACGGGUGGCGAGUGGCGGACGGGUGAGGAAUACAUCGGAAUCUACUUUUUCGUGGGGGAUAACGUAGGGAAACUUACGCUAAUACCGCAUACGACCUACGGGUGAAAGCAGGGGAUCUUCGGACCUUGCGCGAUUGAAUGAGCCGAUGUCGGAUUAGCUAGUUGGCGGGGUAAAGGCCCACCAAGGCGACGAUCCGUAGCUGGUCUGAGAGGAUGAUCGGCCGCAUUGGAACUGAGACAGGGUCAAGGCGCCUACGGGAGGGAGCAGUGGGGAACAUUAGACAAAGGGGGGAAGCAUGAUCCAGCCAGAGCGAGUCGGAGAAGAAGGCCCUCGGGGUGUAAAGCCCGUUUGUGGGGAAAGAAAAGCAUCAGGUUAAUACCCCGCGGUACUGACGGUACCCAAAGAAGAAGCACCGGCUAACUACGUG